UACGGAGGGUGCAAGCGUUAUCCGGAUUCACUGGGUUUAAAGGGUGCGUAGGUGGGCAGGUAAGUCAGUGGUGAAAUCUCCGGGCUUAACUCGGAACGGUCAAGUGAUACUGUCGUGCUAGAGUGCAGAAGGGGCAAUCGGAAUUCUUGGUGUAGCGGUGAAAUGCGUAGAUAUCAAGAGGAACACCUGAGGUGAAGACGGGUUGCUGGGCUGACACUGACGCUGAGGCGCGAAAGCUAGGGGAGCAAACGGG
rnacentral:rRNA from 1 species